GAUGAACGCUGGCGGCGUGCCUAAUACAUGCAAGUCGAGCGAACAGACGAGGAGCUUGCUCCUCUGACGUUAGCGGCGGACGGGUGAGUAACACGUGGAUAACCUACCUAUAAGACUGGGAUAACUUCGGGAAACCGGAGCUAAUACCGGACAAUAUAUUGAACCGCAUGGUUCAUUAGUGAAAGACGGUUUUGCUGUCACUUAUACAUGGAUCCGCGCCGCAUUAGCUAGUUGGUAAGGUAACGGCUUACCAAGGCAACGAUGCGUAGCCGACCUGAGAGGGUGAUCAGCCACACUGGAACUGAGACACGGUCCAGACUCCUACGGGAGGCAGCAGUAGGGAAUAUUGCACAAUGGGCGAAAGCCUGACGGAGCAACGCCGCGUGAGUGAUGAAGGUCUUCGGAUCGUAAAACUCUGUUAUUAGGGAAGAACAAAAGUGUAAGUAACUAUGCACGUCUUGACGGUACCUAAACAGAAAGCCACGGCUAACUACGUG
rnacentral:rRNA from 1 species